UGGGGAAUUUUGGACAAUGGGCGAAAGCCUGAUCCAGCAAUGCCGCGUGUGUGAAGAAGGCCUUCGGGUUGUAAAGCACUUUUGUCCGGAAAGAAAUCCUCUGGGUUAAUACCUCGGGGGGAUGACGGUACCGGAAGAAUAAGCACCGGCUAACUACGUGCCAGCAGCCGCGGUAAUACGUAGGGUGCAAGCGUUAAUCGGAAUUACUGGGCGUAAAGCGUGCGCAGGCGGUUUUGUAAGACGGAUGUGAAAUCCCCGGGCUUAACCUGGGAACUGCAUUCGUGACUGCAAGGCUAGAGUAUGGCAGAGGGGGGUAGAGUUCCACGUGUAGCAGUGAAAUGCGUAGAGAUGUGGAGGAAUACCGAUGGCGAAGGCAGCCCCCUGGGCCAAUACUGACGCUCAUGCACGAAAGCGUGGGGAGCAAACAGGAUUAGAUACCCUGGUAGUCCACGCCCUAAAACGAUGUCAACUAGUUGUUGGGGAUUCAUUUCCUUAGUAACGUAGCUAACGCGUGAAGUUGACCGCCUGGGGAGUACGGUCGCAAGAUUAAAACUCAAAUGAAUUGACGGGGUCAUAGCUGUUUCCU
rnacentral:rRNA from 1 species